UACGGAGGGGGCGAGCGUUAUUCGGAAUUAUUGGGCGUAAAGGGCGCGUAGGCGGCUGAUCAAGUCAAAGGUGAAAUCCCUCGGCUCAACUGAGGAACUGCCUUUGAAACUGUUCGGCUUGAGGCCGGGAGGGGGUAGCGGAAUUCCCAGUGUAGCGGUGAAAUGCGUAGAUACUGGGAGGAACACCAGUGGCGAAGGCGGGUCUCUGGGCAAUAACUGACGCUGAGGAGCGAAAGCGUGGGGAGCGAACAGG
rnacentral:rRNA from 1 species